rnacentral:rRNA from 1 species
CACGUAGGGUGCGAGCGUUGUCCGGAAUUAUUGGGCGUAAAGAGCUCGUAGGCGGUGUGUCGCGUCGGCCGUGAAAACCUGCAGCUUAACUGUGGGCUUGCGGUCGAUACGGGCAUCACUGGAGUUCGGCAGGGGAGACUGGAAUUCCUGGUGUAGCGGUGAAAUGCGCAGAUAUCAGGAGGAACACCGAUGGCGAAGGCAGGUCACUGGGCCGCAACUGACGCUGAGGAGCGAAAGCAUGGGGAGCGAACAGG